rnacentral:lncRNA from 1 species
CACGGACACAGAGCCGGGAGUGGUGGAGCUGGGGUCAAAGCCAGGUCUCUGUGACUCCAGGACCGCUGAGUCCCACAGCUCCAUGUAGUUCCCUUUAAAGCCCCUCUCAGACUCCAUGACCUGUCAUCACUCCCUCAACCCUGAGCCUCUUGAAAGCAGGGAGUAUUAGCACUUGGUCAUCCUGCACUCCCAGAAUCUAGUAUGGUCUAUGAAUGAAUGAACGAAUGAAUGAAUGAAUGAAUGAAUGAAUGAAAUCUGAGAAGUCUAACUUCUCUUACGUGGACAGAAAAGCUGAGGGCAACCUCCCUCCAUUCCAAGAUGUCUCAAGUCCCUGAACACAUGGCUCUGCGUGUGCUUCUUUGGGUGUGACUUCAGCAAGGAAAUCAGUAAGAAUUAAGAACCCUUGAAAAGUGCUCACCACGUACCCAGCACUGUUCUGUGCACAUAGGAACCCACUUAUCCCCGAUGAAGUGGGUGCUGUUAUUAUUUCCUCCACAUCUCAGGAGCCAAGUGAGGCAGGGAUGUUAGGUCACUUGACCAAGGACACCGAGUAACUGCAGAUCAAAGGUCAGUGCAGUCGUGGGACUCCAUAUACCUGCUCCUAACCCACAUGCUGUGCUUUCAAGGUCAAACAGAAACAUCUAUGGUCCCGGUAAGGGUGCCACCCCUGGUCCACCAGACACAGACAUCAAAUAGCCUUACCUUGGUGAGAUUCAAGGCUGUCUGCUCCGAGAGGGACUUACUGGGUAAGCUGAGGGAUACAUUUUGGAGGUAACUCAGUAUCACUCCG